rnacentral:snoRNA from 1 species
AAGACUAUACUUUCAGGGAUCAUUUCUGUAGUUGGUGACUAGAGAAGGUUCUCUGAUCAUGUAGAGUACAAGAACCAGGAUACAUAACUCCAGGAAUCUCCAGGAAGAGAUCCUGGA